rnacentral:rRNA from 1 species
UACGGAGGGUGCAAGCGUUAAUCGGAAUUACUGGGCGUAAAGCGCGCGUAGGCGGUUUUUUAAGUCGGAUGUGAAAGCCCCGGGCUCAACCUGGGGACUGCAUCCGAUACUGGAAGACUAGAAUGCGGGAGAGGGAGGUAGAAUUCCAUGUGUAGCAGUGAAAUGCGUAGAUAUAUGGAGGAAUACCAGUGGCGAAGGCGGCCUCCUGGCUCGACAUUGACGCUGAGGUGCGAAAGCGUGGGGAGCAAACAGG